CGCCCUUAGAGUUUGAUCCUGGCUCAGGACGAACGCUGGCGGCGUGCUUAACACAUGCAAGUCGAACGGUAAGGCCCUUCGGGGUACACGAGUGGCGAACGGGUGAGUAACACGUGGGUAAUCUGCCCUGCACAUCGGGAUAAGCCUGGGAAACUGGGUCUAAUACCGAAUAGGACCACAGGACACAUGUCCUGUGGUGGAAAGCUUUUGCGGUGUGGGAUGGGCCCGCGGCCUAUCAGCUUGUUGGUGGGGUGAUGGCCUACCAGGGCGACGACGGGUAGCCGGCCUGAGAGGGUGUCCGGCCACACUGGGACUGAGAUACGGCCCAGACUCCUACGGGAGGCAGCAGUGGGGAAUAUUGCACAAUGGGCGAAAGCCUGAUGCAGCGACGCCGCGUGGGGGAUGACGGCCUUCGGGUUGUAAACCUCUUUCACCAUCGACGAAGGUCCGGGUUUUCUCGGGCUGACGGUAGGUGGAGAAGAAGCACCGGCCAACUACGUGCCAGCAGCCGCGGUAAUACGUAGGGUGCGAGCGUUGUCCGGAAUUACUGGGCGUAAAGAGCUCGUAGGUGGUUUGUCGCGUUGUUCGUGAAAUCUCACGGCUUAACUGUGAGCGUGCGGGCGAUACGGGCAGACUUGAGUACUGCAGGGGAGACUGGAAUUCCUGGUGUAGCGGUGGAAUGCGCAGAUAUCAGGAGGAACACCGGUGGCGAAGGCGGGUCUCUGGGCAGUAACUGACGCUGAGGAGCGAAAGCGUGGGGAGCGAACAGGAUUAGAUACCCUGGUAGUCAAGGGC
rnacentral:rRNA from 1 species